rnacentral:rRNA from 1 species
GACGUAGGGUGCGAGCGUUGUCCGGAUUUAUUGGGCGUAAAGAGCUCGUAGGCGGCUCGUCGCGUCGUCCGUGAAAACCCGCAGCUUAACUGCGGGCUUGCGGUUGAUACGGGCGGGCUAGAGUUCGGUAGGGGAGACUGGAAUUCCUGGUGUAGCGGUGAAAUGCGCAGAUAUCAGGAGGAACACCGGUGGCGAGGGCGGAUCUCUGGGCCAUUACUGACGCUGAGGAGCGAAAGCGUGGGGAGCGAACAGG